AUUGAACGCUGGCGGCAGGCCUAACACAUGCAAGUCGAACGAGUGGCGGACGGGUGAGUAAUGUCUGGGAAACUGCCCGAUGGAGGGGGAUAACUACUGGAAACGGUAGCUAAUACCGCAUACAAUGGGUUGUGCCAGGAUGGGAUUAGUUGUAAGGUAAGGUAACGGCUCACCUAGGCGACGAUCCCUAGCUGGUCUGAGAGGAUGACCAGCCACACUGGAACUGAGACACGGUCCAGACUCCUACGGGAGGCAGCAGUGGGGAAUAUUGCACAAUGGGCGCAAGCCUGAUGCAGCCAUGCCGCGUGUAUGAAGAAGGCCUUCGGGUUGUAAAGUACUUUCAGCGGGGAGGCGUUACCCGCAGAAGAAGCACCGGCUAACUCCGUGCCAGCAGCCGCGGUAAUAC
rnacentral:rRNA from 1 species